AUUCACUAUCGAACAUGAAGGAAAUGCAGUUGGAAAAUACAGAAAAAUCUAUAAUUGAUUUGGGGAAAAAAUUAAGUGAUGUGAUGUGUAAGCAGCAAAAUGUUCAGAUGGUAUUUAAU